AUUGAACGCUGGCGGCAUGCUUGACACAUGCAAGUCGAACGGUAACAGGGUGCUUGCACCGCUGACGAGUGACGAACGGGUGAGUAAUGCGUCGGAACGUGCCGAGUAGUGGGGGAUAACGCAGCGAAAGUUGUGCUAAUACCGCAUACGUACUGAGGUAGAAAGUGGGGGACCUUCGGGCCUCACGCUAUUCGAGCGGCCGACGUCUGAUUAGCUAGUAGGUGAGGUAAAGGCUCACCUAGGCGACGAUCAGUAGCGGGUCUGAGAGGAUGAUCCGCCACACUGGGACUGAGACACGGCCCAGACUCCUACGGGAGGCAGCAGUGGGGAAUUUUGGACAAUGGGCGAAAGCCUGAUCCAGCCAUGCCGCGUGUCUGAAGAAGGCCUUCGGGUUGUAAAGGACUUUUGUCAGGGAGGAAAUCCCUAGCGUUAAUACCGCUGGGGGAUGACAGUACCUGAAGAAUAAGCACCGGCUAACUACGUGCCAGCAGCCGCCGUAACAC
rnacentral:rRNA from 1 species